UAACACCGGUUCCCAUAUAAUCACCGAAGUUAAGCAACGUCGAAUUUGGUCAGUACCUAGAUGGGUAACCGUUUGGGAAUACCAUGUUCUGUAA